rnacentral:rRNA from 1 species
GAUGAACGCUAGCGGCAGGCCUAAUACAUGCAAGUCGAGGGAGAAUGUUGGAUUCGUCUGACAUGAAACCGGCGCACGGGUGCGUAACACGUAUGCAACCUACCUUUAACUGGGGUAUAGCUCAGAGAAAUCUGAAUUAAUCCCCCAUAAGACUACGACAUGGCAUCAUGAUGUAGUCAAAGCUCCGGCGGUUAAGGAUGGGCAUGCGGUACAUUAGCUAGUUGGUGAGGCAAUGGCUCACCAAGGCUACGAUGUAUAGGGGGUCUGAGAGGAUGAUCCCCCACACUGGUACUGAGACACGGACCAGACUCCUACGGGAGGCAGCAGUAGGGAAUAUUGGUCAAUGGACGCAAGUCUGGACCAGCCAUGCCGCGUGAAGGAUGAAGGCCCUAUGGGUCGUAAACUUCUUUUAUUAGGGAAGAAAAAACGGGAUGCGUCCUGUACUGACGGUACUUAAUGAGUAAGGAUCGGCUAACUUCGUGCCAGCAGCCGCAGUAA